GUCUAUCCAGAUUGACUCAAUGGCCCCUGCAAAUUCAAAUGGGUAUUUCCAAGUUAAUCAUAAACAAGAACCAAACCCUUCAAUUCAGGGCAAAAUCAAAUUAGGUCUCAGUCAUUGUCAAGCUACAAUUGUUUUCCUCUUUCCCCUGUUCCUUAUUGCAAGUUAUAAUUAACUUAGAAGUCAAGCACUUUAAUGAUGGUAAAUUAGUGCAUCAUUUCUUUUCAGGGG
rnacentral:misc_RNA from 1 species